GGAAGCUUGCUUCCUAUGAAAUCGAGUGGCAAACGGGUGAGUAACGCGUAAACAACCUGCCCUUCGGAUGGGGAUAACAGCCGGAAACGGCUGCUAAUACCGAAUACGAUCUUUUCGUCGCAUGACGGAAAGAAGAAAGGAUGGCCUCUAUACAAAGCUAUCGCCGAAGGAGGGGUUUGCGUCUGAUUAGCUGGUUGGAGGGGUAACGGCCCAACAAGGCGAUGAUCAGUAGCCGGUCUGAGAGGAUGAACGGCCACAUUGGGACUGAGACACGGCCCAGACUCCUACGGGAGGCAGCAGUGGGGAAUCUUCCGCAAUGGACGAAAGUCUGACGGAGCAACGCCGCGUGAGUGAAGAAGGUCUUCGGAUUGUAAAGCUCUGUUAUACGGGACGAAAAAGACGGAUGCCAACAGUAUCCGUCCGUGACGGUACCGUAAGAGAAAGCCACGGCUAACUACGUGCCAGCAGCCGCGGUAAUACGUAGGUGGCAAGCGUUGUCCGGAAUUAUUGGGCGUAAAGGGCGCGCAGGCGGUUCGGUAAGUCUGUCUUAAAAGUGCGGGGCUUAACCCCGUGAGGGGACGGAAACUGUCGAACUUGAGUGUCGGAGAGGAAAGCGGAAUUCCUAGUGUAGCGGUGAAAUGCGUAGAUAUUAGGAGGAACACCGGUGGCGAAAGCGGCUUUCUGGA
rnacentral:rRNA from 1 species